rnacentral:lncRNA from 1 species
AUGAAAAGCGCUUUAUAAAUCAAAUAUAUUAUUAUUAUUAUUAUUCAAGCUUUAAGCUUCUCCCGUUCAAAACAGAAGUAGAGUUGUAUAACUCUGCAAUUUAUAUAAACAAAACAUAAAUUGCAGCUAAUUUCCAAACCUUAGGGUAAUACCAUGUAGGAAAGAAGAACAUGAAACAAUAAGAUCAAUAGAAAGACAGUAUGACUAAUUAUGACAGACAAAUUAUCCACUUGUAACAGUAAGACUUGAGGUUUUGUUUGUUUGUUUGUUUUUUCAUCAGGGUGGAUAAAGUGCAAACAGUUGUAUUCCAAACUGAGACAUGGACCGCUGACACGACUUGGCACAACUUGCAGUUUGAGGAUGUGAGCACAUGAGGUGUCGAUUCACUUUCUGCAGCCAAGAAAAACACCCCUCAACUUCCAGUUUUCCACAAUUGUGACGUCUGUGAGCCUUUUUAAUUCCCUCUCGGCAGGGAUCUCCCUUUGGCAGCUGCCGUGCCCCUCCGGCGACGUGGACGCGUGGCCGGACAGGACGCCCCGCCUCUCCACCCAUCCACCUUAUCGACCCGCCGCACAGCACUGGUGCGGGGGCUGCCUGCGACCUGAUACCUCACAUCGCCGCGGAGAAGUCGGUCCCGGCUGAGAUAGAGCUCCCCACCUCUGCUGUGCCCGUGGCUAUACCCCGGAGUUAUCACGCACCAGAUGCUCAGCGGUUGCAUAAUGCACACAGGAUGUGAUCACUGGCUCCAUAUCUGACGGUGCAGCACCGCAGAGCUCGGCGUGCUCUUUUGACAGGUGCUGUAGUAGCAAUUUUCGUGGUACUUUGUGUUUUGAGCUGUCAAUUUUGUGUGCGAGAGGGAAUGUUUUCAUGCUUGUUUUACACCCAAAGAUGAACCAAAACCCCCCAACAAAACCCCCCAAAUAUUCUUAAGCCUUUUCAGCCCACGAACCGAACAGAAGCAAUUUCGUCUCACCCUGAACCCCGGUCUCAUUAAAACACAACUCGUUU